rnacentral:rRNA from 1 species
AUAGCUAGAUAAUGCUCACGUCUCCCGCAUAAAGUAGUACAUAUGAUAUAGAAUACUUUCACUAAUCGAAUUCGAAAUGGGUUCGGGUGGUACAUAUUCCAAGAUAUCAAGCUAU